AUGUAAGCAAACCAAUAGCAUAUGCAGUUUCACAUGAAACGGACUAUGCUAUUGGUUCGCUCACUUAGCUGCUUAUCACUUAGAAGCACUAAGUAAGACGAUAGGUUGAUAAUUUUAAAAUAAACACCGUAAUUAGCUGCGUAAUUUUAAGAUUAGAGUUGGCAACUUUAUCGUCAAUUUCUAAGAUGGCGGCUACCGGUGGUGUAGUGUGUAAAGUUGGUCCUUCGAUUCUGAAUGCGGAUUUAUCGGAGAUUUACGCCGAAUCUCAACGUAUGUUAGAAAGUGGAGCAGAUUAUCUACAUUUAGAUGUUAUGGAUGGACAUUUUGUACCUAAUAUUACCUUUGGGCAUCCUGUUGUUAAAUGUUUACGUAGAAAAAUUCCAAACGCGUUUUUCGACUUGCAUAUGAUGGUAGCCAAUCCUCAGCAAUGGAUAGAACCCAUGGCAGAUGCUGGUGCUAGCCAAUAUACUUUUCAUUUAGAAGCCACAGAAGAACCAUUAGAAUUAAUUAGAAAAAUUAAAGAAGCUGGUAUGAAGGUUGGUGUUGGUUUAAAACCAGCAACAUCUGUUGAGGAAUUAUUACCUUUGGUGGAACAUGUAGACAUGAUUCUUAUUAUGACAGUGGAACCAGGUUUUGGAGGUCAAUCAUUUUUGUCUGAAAUGAUGUCAAAAGUACAGUUUUUGAGAGCACGUUUUAGAGAUUUGGAUAUAGAAGUUGAUGGAGGAGUUGGUCCUCAAACUAUUGAUAUGUGUGCAGAGAUGGAGGUUUCAACCUGAUGGUUUCAUCCUCCAGUAUGGCUGCUAGCUACUGGAAGCAACCUGUAAAGUGGACAUAGGUUUCUAGUGCCUCAAUAUGGCAACAAGGAGGCUGAUGAGUGGAGGGCCAGUAAAGUGAUGAUAGAGGGAUCAAUGACAUUAGGCUGAGAUGAAUGGAAGCACCCAGAGCUGAAUGUUCCUGUUGAUAUUGUUAGCAGGCUGGAGCCAACAUGAUUGUUUCUGGAACUGCUAUAACAAACAGCAACAACCCUCGGCAGGUCAUUUCAGUUCUUAGACAAUCGGUGGAGGAAGCCAUACAGAAGACUCAACUGGAACGAUGACAUUAUUC
rnacentral:misc_RNA from 1 species